GGCCCGGUAGCUCAGUCGGGAGAGCAGAGGAUUGAACAUCCUUGUGGCGGCGGGGCGAUGCCGUCCCAGGCCACCA
rnacentral:tRNA from 1 species